rnacentral:rRNA from 1 species
AGCAGCCGCGGUAAUUCCAGCUCCAAUAGCGUAUAUUAGAGUUGUUGCAGUUAAAAAGCUCGUAGUUGAAUUUCGGGGUUAGUAGGUUGGUCAUGCCUCUGGUAUGUACUGGUCUCACUGAUUCCUCCUUCCUGAUGAGCCGUAAUGCCAUUAAUUUGGUGUUGCGGGGAAUUUGGACUGUUACUUUGAAAAAAUUAGAGUGUUUAAAGCAAGCUAACGCUUGAAUACAUUAGCAUGGAAUAAUGAAAUAGGACGUUCGAUCCUAUUUUGUUGGUUUCUAGGAUUGACGUAAUGAUUAAUAGGGAUAGUUGGGGGCAUUAGUAUUCAAUUGUCAGAGGUGAAAUUCUUGGAUUUAUUGAAGACUAACUACUGCGAAAGCAUUUGCCAAGGAUGUUUUCAUUAAUCAAGAACGAAAGUUAGGGGAUCGAAGACGAUCAGAUACCGUCGUAG